rnacentral:lncRNA from 1 species
CAAUGAUGCGUAAGAUCUCAGAUGUGCUGAUACAACCUAAGACAGGUCAUGGAGGACACCCCCCCCCUUUUUGAGCCAGAGUGACACAUGGUAUCCAGAGAUGGGUAAGAUCCCCAUGUGUGAAACAAUCUAAGACAGGAGGUAUGUAACCUGCUCAUUACAAAAAGAAAAGGGGGAAAUGUUGAGUCCCAUUUUAGCCCUGGUUUGGGCCUUGAGGACAAACCCGAGCCUGGCUCAAGUUUUGAGACCUGUCUCAGUCACUUCCGUAUUGGAGUGACUCAGCAACACCUAUUUGGCCCUGCUUCUGCCCCACCUUUGUUGAUGUGGAGCUUUGCCAUUAGCCCUGUCAGCCACUCCAUACCCUCCUUCCCUGCCUGCUACAUCACCUUACCCCACCAAAAAUUCCCCUCCCUAUGUUCCAAACUUAUAUAAGCGAGAGACUGAUGCCAUAAAGUUGAGUUCCUGCUUCAACAAGACUCCCGGCUCAGUGUGUUUCUUUCUUCGAUCGACACUUGCCAUCUCUCUCAGCCCUGGAGAGACCCCGUGGGAUGGGACCUCUCUUUUCUCACCUGGACCUGCUGGCAAGGAGCCGGCACCUGAUCCCUUCUUGUGCUGCAAACCCAAUACACAUAGACACAUACAAACAUGUAUACAUGUACAUAUGUGGGAUCCUCGUUCGUGUUCUGUUGCUAUGACAGAAUGCCCUGAUCAAAGGCAACUUAGGACAGAAAAGGGCAUCUUUGGCUUUCACUUCAGGUUAUAGAUAAUAAUUUCAGGGAAGUCAUAGUGACAUGUGCUUGAAACAGCUGCUCAAAGUAUACCCACAGUCAAGAGCAAAGAGAUAUGACUAUACUCUUGCCUAAACAGUUCAGGACACUUUGAAGAAGAUCUAGAUCUUCUUCACUUUCAGUUAAUGAUCAAGCCAAGCCUCCAAAGACAUGACCACAGG